AUGUCUUCAUCGCCUCCGGCUUCGACGGUGGCGGACGCGGCGGCGGUGGGUCAUCCGUCGCAGCUGGCCAUCAGCAACGGGGUGCUGCUGGCGGCGGUGAUCUUCCUCUUCAUGGUCGUCGUCUUCGUCUUCCUCCUCUACCUCUACGCCAAGCGCUUCUUGGGGGCCAACCCCAUGCUCAACGGCGCCGGCGCCACCUCCUCGCGCUUCAUCUUCGUCGGCGACUCCCCGUUCCCGCGCCGCGGCCUGCCGGCCUCCGUGCUCCGGACCCUCCCCGUCGCCGUCUACGGCGGCGGCGCCUCGCCCAAGACGCCCGGCGGCCAGGGGAGGAGGAGCAGCCGCGACGCGCUCGAGUGCGCGGUGUGCCUCUCGGAGGUGGCCGACGGCGAGAAGGUGCGGACGCUGCCCAAGUGCGACCACCGCUUCCACGUCGACUGCAUCGACAUGUGGUUCCACUCCCACGACACCUGCCCGCUCUGCCGCGCCCCCGUCGGCGCCGACGCGGACGAGCCCGCCGCCGAGGGGCUCCCCCGCGUGCCGCGCGAGGACCACGCCACGCCGGAGUUCCCCAUGUUCCCCACCAACGUCCUCUUCUGGGGCACCCACGACGACGUCACCAACGGCGGCCUCGGAGGGAUGCCGCCGGCGCCGGCCCCGGCACCUCCGAUCGCCGCCGCCUCCACCAGCUCCUCGGCCUCCGGGCGCAGGAAGGAGAACCUGGUGAUCGACAUCCCCACCCGGGCGAUGGCGGUGGGCGCGGCGUCGACAUCCCCCGCCACGCCGCUGCCGGCGAGCGACCUGCGGUCCCCGAUGUCCGCCCGGCUCCGGUCGCUGCGCCGGCUCCUGAGCAGGGGCAAGCAGGCCGUGGUGGGCGCGUCAUCAUCCCCCAGCCCGCGCGGCGGCGGCGACAUCGAGCAGGGCCUCGUCGGGCGCCCGCCGAAGACGCCAAAGACGCCUCCGGCGGCUAACUGA
rnacentral:rRNA from 1 species